AUUUUAUUUAGUGCAGAUUUUCUGCAUAAAAUUUGAUGUUUUUGUUAUUAGGAAUAAUAAUUUUUAGGAGUAUUUUUAGGUCUUAUUUGAUUUACUUGUAAGCCUAUAAAUAGGCAUAUCCUUUUAUUAAUUCAAUGAAGUGCAAAACAUUAUUAAUCAUCUUGUGCAUUCCAUUGUUCCUUCCCUAAAAAUCUCAACAUGGUAUCAGAGCCUGUCUAUUAAAUGGCCACAAACACUAUUCCAUUUUCUUCCCCUUCAAUUUUUGUUGGUGAAAAUUAUCAGCUAUGGGCUGUUAAAAUGAAAGCUUAUUUACAAGUUUAUGACUUAUGGGAGCAUGUUGAAACAGAAAAA